rnacentral:lncRNA from 1 species
AAGUGUGUAGCGAGUGGCAAGGUGACAGCCUCCUCCUACCUCCCCUCAGCCUCUGAUUUGCACUUCCUCCUGUCUACUCUGGAUUGGUCAUGCUUUAGUUUGUACAUAUUUUUUUUUCUCCCACACCAUUCCCCACAAAUUUUGUCUUGUGUUCCUCUGUUCCUCAAAUCCUGCUUAGCCUUCUCUUGUUUUAUUUCCUUCUUCUUCUCAGACAUAUCACCCAAGCAAAGGUGCAUGGGAAGUGUCUCAGUUCCUUUCCCAGACACAAGCACAGCAAAGGAAAAAGGUUGAUUACAGCUCAUGCUUUCGUUUACUGCGGAUGGAAGUCAAGGCAGUGAGGACACGAAAGGACAAGGCACAUCAUCUUCACAACCAGGAAGUGAGGGAAACUCAAGCAUGAGUCUGCUCAGCUCCCUUCCGUUAAUGUGGUGUGGGAUCCCUACAAUGGAGUGGUGCAUCUGUAUGAACACGCUCAAGAUAAUCCUCAGUCCUCAGAGCAUUCCAGAUUCUGUCAGGUUGACAACACUAAUCAUCACAGGACAAAAGAGUAAACUAGAGAAAGG